CAGAGCCGCGGUAAUACGUAGGUGGCAAGCGUUGUCCGGAAUUAUUGGGCGUAAAGGGCUCGCAGGCGGUUUCUUAAGUCUGAUGUGAAAGCCCCCGGCUCAACCGGGGAGGGUCAUUGGAAACUGGGAAACUUGAGUGCAGAAGAGGAGAGUGGAAUUCCACGUGUAGCGGUGAAAUGCGUAGAGAUGUGGAGGAACACCAGUGGCGAAGGCGACUCUCUGGUCUGUAACUGACGCUGAGGAGCGAAAGCGUGGGGAGCAAAUGGGAUUAGAUACCCCCGUAGUCCCUGUCUCUUAUACA
rnacentral:rRNA from 1 species